UACAGAGGGGGCAAGCGUUGUUCGGAAUUACUGGGCGUAAAGGGCGCGUAGGCGGCCUUCUAAGUCAGACGUGAAAUCCCUCGGCUCAACCGGGGAACUGCGUCUGAGACUGGAAGGCUUGAAUCCGGGAGAGGGAUGUGGAAUUCCAGGUGUAGCGGUGAAAUGCGUAGAGAUGUGGAGGAAUACCGAUGGCGAAGGCAGCCCCCUGGGAUAACACUGGACGC
rnacentral:rRNA from 1 species